GGCUAUGAUAUUGUCCUGUCACAGCAGUACUGAAUUAUAAAGAUACUGGUGUGUCGGGACAUAUCCUUAGCU
rnacentral:pre_miRNA from 1 species